CACGUAGGGCGCGAGCGUUGUCCGGAAUUAUUGGGCGUAAAGAGCUCGUAGGCGGCCUGUUGCGUCCGCUGUGAAAGCCCGGGGCUUAACCCCGGGUCUGCAGUGGAUACGGGCAGGCUAGAGGUAGGUAGGGGAGAAUGGAAUUCCCGGUGUAGCGGUGGAAUGCGUAGAGAUCGGGAAGAACACCUGCGGUGUAGACGGCUUACUGGACCAUAACUGACGCUGAGGCACGAAAGCGUGGGUAGCAAACAGG
rnacentral:rRNA from 1 species